UAACUUCUGCCGGUCUCUAAG
rnacentral:misc_RNA from 1 species